rnacentral:lncRNA from 1 species
GCCUGCUGUGCCUGAGUCGAAGUGAGUUCGGGAAGCCAGUGCCCGAAUGCUCAACCUUGCUGUAUCAGGGAGGGCCGGAGAGGGGAGCUCAAGAAGAGGACGUCCUAUCGAGGUGGCAGGGAUUUUCUGAAGGAGGGCGUAUUUUGAAAUUCCACUUCUAGGAAACUGACAGAAUGAGCUUCCAAGGCCCAGGAGACAGUAAGUAGUAACCAAUGCAAGAUGGUGUGUCAAGGACAAAGAGAGACCAUCAGACAUGACGGGCUUCCCAGUGGGAGGACACCACACCACCCAUAAGGAAUCUUUGCCAAAAAAGUUGAGUUUGAAGCCGAUAAAAUAUAUAGACCAGCGAUUCUCAAGCGGGGACCAUUCUGUCCCCCAGGGACACUUAGCAACAUCUAGACACAUUUUUUUAAUUGUCACAACUUGGGGGAAGGGGACUGCUACUGGCAUCUGGUGCAGGGAGGCCAGGGAUGUUGCUAAAUAUAUGCUACAAUGCACAGGACACGUCCCACCCCAGGGAAUGAUCCAGCCCCAAAUGUUAAGAGUCAAACCUGUUCUGGACACUAUCUCAAUUUCUGUAAUAAAUAAAUUCCAAGAGGGAAGAGAGACAGACAGAAAGAGAAAAGGCACCUACAGAUGAAAUAUUUUCUUUUCUUUUCUUUUCUUUUUUUUAUUUUUUUGAGAUAGGGGCUUGCUCUGUUGCCCAGGCUAGAGUACACUGGCACAAUCACGGCUGACAGCAGCCUUGACCUCCUGGGCUCAAGCAAUCCUCCCACCUCAGCCUCCCAAGCAGCUGGGACUACAGGCACAAACCACCACAACCAGCUAGAUUUUCAAUUUUUUUGUAGAGAUGAGGGACUCACUAUGUUGCCCAGGCUGGUCUACAACUCUUGGGCUCAAGCGAUCCUCCCGCCUCGGCUUCCCAAAGUGCUGGGAUUACAGGCAUGAGCCAUUGCGCUCAGCCAAGAAUUCUUACAAGACACAUCAACCAGUCAUAAUGCUGGUUGUGUAUUUAAUUAUGGAAAUAAGAAAAAACACAUUUUUGACAUUGUGAGACAGAAUUGAGCCACUGCCCAGAUUCCUGAUGACACUGAGAUAUCACUGUCACUUAAAAACAAUGCUUACCAGACACAAAAGGCGACA